GGGUCUGUAGCUCAGUUGGUUAGAGCACACGCUUGAUAAGCGUGGGGUCACAAGUUCA
rnacentral:tRNA from 1 species